rnacentral:rRNA from 1 species
UUAAUUGAAGAGUUUGAUCAUGGCUCAGAUUGAACGCUGGCGGCAGGCCUAACACAUGCAAGUCGAGCGGCAGCACAAGGGAGUUUACUCCUGAGGUGGCGAGCGGCGGACGGGUGAGUAAUGCCUAGGGAUCUGCCCAGUCGAGGGGGAUAACAGUUGGAAACGACUGCUAAUACCGCAUACGCCCUACGGGGGAAAGAGGGGGACCUUCGGGCCUCUCGCGAUUGGAUGAACCUAGGUGGGAUUAGCUAGUUGGUGAGGUAAUGGCUCACCAAGGCGACGAUCCCUAGCUGUUCUGAGAGGAUGAUCAGCCACACUGGGACUGAGACACGGCCCAGACUCCUACGGGAG